AGACGUCUACAUUAGAUACCCCCGUAGUCCCAGCCCUAAACGAUGCGCGUUAGGUGUAUCGGUGACCACGAGUCACCGAGGUGCCGAAGGGAAACCGUGAAACGUGCCGCCUGGGAAGUACGGUCGCAAGGCUGAAACUUAAAGGAAUUGGCGGGGAGCACCACAACGGGUGGAGCCUGCGGUUUAAUUGGACUCAACGCCGGGAAGCUCACCGGAUAAGACAGCGGAAUGAUUGCCGGGCUGAAGACCCUGCAUGACCAGCUG
rnacentral:rRNA from 1 species